rnacentral:lncRNA from 1 species
AAGAACUCCCUUCUUUUUCUUUUAUCUUAAGCUAGUUUGUACUCGGUUUCUGUCAUUUGCAACCCCUAAUCCUAAUUAUCAUAUCUCCUUAUAUAUGUGUUGAAUGUUAACCAUGUUGAUAUCACAUAUUGAAUAUAGUAACACUAAAUUAAAUAUUAUGUGAAUAUGAUUUAGUUUAUUUAUUCAACUAAAUAUUCUAUGUGCCAAAACUAUGCUAGAUACUAGAGAUCAUAUUACAAAUAAGACAGACAAUAUGGUAUCAGGUAUUUGUGACUAUAACAGGCAAAUAAUUCAGUCAACUCUUCCUUACUCUAUGCCAAGAUAAUGCUAUGAAAGAAGAGGAAACAAAACAGAUAUGGUUACUUUCUUCAUGUAACACUGCCUCAGUUUCCUCAUCUGUAAAAUGGAUAUAAUACUUGUCUCUAUUUCCCAAGAUUGCUGUGACGAACUGAGAUAGAUAAAAUGCUUAGUAUAAAGUCUGGCAUAUGACCAGUGACUGAUAAAUUGUAGAUUAUAGUCUCUAAUACUGAACUUUUUGUAUACUCAAGGGUCUUUUUUUAAAAGUUUAUUUUCUAUUGCAAUGAGAAGUAGUUUUGGGGGGGUCAGCCAGAACUGGUUCAUAUUCUGCUUUUUCUGGUAACUAAAAUACCUUGGGCAUGUUACUUAAUUUCUCUGAAUCUCAGUUUACUCAUCUGUAAAAUGUAAAGUGGAAUAAUAAUACCUUUCUUGGCGAGCCACAUAAAAGGUAGUUAUUAUUACUAUUAUUAUCAAUCCAUCCACAGAAAUACAAUGAUAACCUUGCUUGAGAAAAAUGAUCUCAGAGGAAGUAGUCAUGACAAUUAUUAUUUUUGUAAAUAGCUUUCAAAAUUGCUACCUACUCCAUUUCUCAUACUGUUCAUCAAAAUACCUCUGGGAACAGAGGAGGGAAAAUUAUCCUGAGGUUGGGAGUCCAGGGGAGGGUAAUGACCUAAAGCGGCCUCCUGCAAAUGAGAAAUCAAUUUGUCUAAAAUUAUAAAGGUUUUUUUUUUUGUUUUUUUUUUGCGUUUAAGUCUGUGGUCAAUUCAGGCCUAUUUUAACAUGAAGAUGUUUUAAAUUGCUUCCAGCCCUCUCCUCCCUACCCUGACAUGUCAGUAGGAAAUGGUGGUUUUAUCCUGUGGUUUCAUGUUCACCCCCCUACCUCCCCCACUCAAUUCCUUCACUACCACCUAGGUGUGAUCUGUGCCCUCAGUUUGAGAAGCACAGCCUCAGAGCAUUCUGAGUGGCAGUGGGCUUGGAAGUGAUGUCUUGCUCAAUACUGUGUCAUAUAGGAGUAGCUCCCUCAAGACUCCCCAUAGCGCCAGAGUGGAAACAGGGGUGAGUGGGCCCAUGGCAGCCUCUAGGGAGAGGUAAAUCUGUGCUAGUGGCAACAUGUAUCAUGCGAUUCUGUCACCAAGGUGAAGAAAAGGCAAGAUAAAGAUGUGGAAAAGUACAUCAGUCCAGGCAAUAAAUCCCUAAGAAAUAUUCCACCCACUAGGCGGUCCUGGAAAGAUUCUGGUGAAGGGCAAACCAGAUACCACAAACCAAGCCUGAGAGUCAGUAGGUGGGGAAGGGGGAAUAACAGAGCGAGGAAGGAAGAGAGUGUGGUCAUCAAGAGUGAAAUGCAUGCAUUUGGGGAAUGGGGUGAUGAAACACUUCAGAACUGGGCACCCCACAGUCUUUUAAUACCAUCAGGCUGAGACAUAUGAGUAUCGAAUUUGCUGGGGUUGACCUGGAGCCGGCUGCAUGGGCCAUAUGCUUUCCCUGACCCAUAAAAGUCACUAAGUGAGGAAGUAAUUUAUUGCUAGAGAUCACUGUCCGCACCAGAAUAUCCUGGUGUGUUCGCUUCAUUGUUUCCUUAAUAAGGGAAUGGGAGAGGAGCGGGCCGGGAGGGGGUGGGAGCGGAGAGGAGGCGCUUUGGGUCACUUCUGACAGACUGGGUUUGUGGGGGAGGAGGAAGAUUGGGAAGCUUGAUGCUUCUGCCGCUUCGUUCACAGAGGUUUUUCCUGCCUGGCAGCUCAGUCAGUUGUGGGAGAGGGAGAGCUGGGAACAGAGAGGAAAAAGGGGUCAGGAACUUGAAAUGCUUAACUUGGGAUUUGCACAGUUUGAAGAAAGGACAUUUCAUAAAAAGAGGCCAAUAUGUUCUAAUGAACUGGUGCCAUAAAGACGAGGACUGUUUCCUCUCCCAAACCCUGCACACCAAGAAACAUCAAAACAAUAACUGCUGAUAACCUUUCAGUGGACACUGGAAUUCCGACAGUGAUUCCUUUGCAAGGGUAGCUGCCCUGGUUAACAAUGAGCUUCACACAAAGGCUCCAGAGCUGAGCUGGAAGACCAGGCAGCAGGCAGCCCUGAAAGUCUACUGGUGCAAUUGAAAGUCUUUUCCUCCUUCUUCUUUUUUUAAUAGCCCCAGUCUUCUCAGCAGCAAUUAUUUCAGUGAUUGCGACCUGGGUUUCUUACCUCAGUCAUAUCUGAAGAUGUUAUCUUAUGAAUUUGAAAUAGGAACAUUGCUCCAACACCUUCUCUGUGUGGCGCAAUGGGAUUGAUGGCGUCUUGGUAGCAGUGGGACACAGGUUUGAUCCCCAGUCCGGCACAGUGAGUUAAGGAUCCGGUGUUGCUGCAGCAGUGGCUUAGGUGGCAGCUGUGACUUGGAUCUGAUCCCUGGCCUGGGAACUCCAUAUG